AUGAAACCUUGUUCGAUGUGCCUCGUGUUGGUCAAAAUGUCUCAUCACCUUCAUAUGUGAAUGGCAGUUCUAAUGGGGUAAAUUCACCUCCGAGAUAUGAAGAUAUUUCAGAAUCACCUGAUGAUCACCUGAUGAUGUGUGGCUUACUGUAUCUGAAGUUCCUCUUUUUACGCAACCAACAAAUGCUCCACCUCCUUCAAGACCCCCACCUCCUAGACCACCUCGGAUUUCAAAGGUAGAGACAGGUUCUUUUUCAUCAACAAACU
rnacentral:misc_RNA from 1 species